rnacentral:rRNA from 1 species
GAUCAUGGCUCAGGAUGAACGCUGGCGGCGUGCUUAACACAUGCAAGUCGAACGAAGCACCCUAUUUGAUUUUCUUCGGAAAUGAAGAUUUUGUGACUGAGUGGCGGACGGGUGAGUAACGCGUGGGUAACCUGCCUCAUACAGGGGGGAUAACAGUUGGAAACGACUGCUAAUACCGCAUAAGCGCACAGGAUUGCAUGAUCCGGUGUGAAAAACUCCGGUGGUAUGGGAUGGACCCGCG